rnacentral:lncRNA from 1 species
UUAAAAAAAAAGAGAGUUUAUUUUUUUUUUAAGAAAACAUCAAUUGGAAAUUUGGAAUCUAUAGUUUGACUUGUUUAAAUAUAGCUCCCUACACCUGCUUUGACACUAUUAUUGUGAAACAACCGUUGUACUCUAAAAGUUUAAGCUAUUAGAGAACGGUAUUUAAACAUUUUUAUAUUUAACACUCCCCCUCACGUCUGGGCUCGAGACUUUUUAGUUGGCCCAUGACGUGAGCUUAAAUUAAAUGAGAGGAAAUUAAUAUGUUAGGAGCCUUGAAUGACUUGAACUCAGGACCUCUUGCUUUGAUACCAUAUGAAACAACUGUUGUACUCUAAAAGCUUAAGCUGUUAGAGAACGGUAUUUAAAUAUUUUUAUAUUUAACAAUUAUAAUGUUGUAUAUGAGUUUAUUUGAGUAA